UACGAAGGGUGCAAGCGUUAAUCGGAAUUACUGGGCGUAAAGCGUGCGUAGGCGGUUUGUUAAGUCUGCUGUGAAAUCCCCGGGCUCAACCUGGGAAUGGCAGUGGAUACUGGCAAGCUAGAGUGUGUCAGAGGAUGGUGGAAUUCCCGGUGUAGCGGUGAAAUGCGUAGAGAUCGGGAGGAACACCUGUGGCGAAAGCGGCUCACUGGACCAUAACUGACGCUGAUGCACGAAAGCUGGGGGAGCAAACAGG
rnacentral:rRNA from 1 species